UGGAUCCUACGGGACGCAGCAGUAGGGAAUCUUCCACAACGGGCGAAAGCCUGAUGGAGCGACGCCGCGUGGGUGAAGAAGGUCUUCGGAUCGUAAAACCCUGUUGUUAGAGAAGAAAGUGCGUGAGAGUAACUGUUCACGUUUCGACGGUAUCUAACCAGAAAGCCACGGCUAACUACGUGCCAGCAGCCGCGGUAAUACGUAGGUGGCAAGCGUUAUCCGGAUUUAUUGGGCGUAAAGGGAACGCAGGCGGUCUUUUAAGUCUGAUGUGAAAGCCUUCGGCUUAACCGGAGUAGUGCAUUAGA
rnacentral:rRNA from 1 species